UACAGAGGUCUCAAGCGUUGUUCGGAUUCAUUGGGCGUAAAGGGUGCGUAGGCGGCGCGGUAAGUCGGAUGUGAAAUCUCGGAGCUUAACUUCGAAACUGCAUUCGAUACUGCCGUGCUUGAGGACUGGAGAGGAGACUGGAAUUUACGGUGUAGCGGUGAAAUGCGUAGAUAUCGUAAGGAAGACCAGUGGCGAAGGCGGGUCUCUGGGACGGUACUGACGCUGAGACGCGAAAGCGUGGGGAGCGAACAGG
rnacentral:rRNA from 1 species